CAGACUGCGUGCUGUCAUGGUUCCUCAUGCGCUUUCGGCGUGUGGGGCUAAGAGGGAAGCCGGUGCGUCCUUGAUAAGGACAAGGCCGGCGCUGCCCCCGCAACUGUAAGCGGCGAGCCGAUAUUCACCUGUGUCACUGGAACGGGCGUUCCGGGAAGACGAAUGGAGGCGACGACCCGCGAGCCAGGAGACCUGCCAGGACGAAACAACGUCC
rnacentral:ncRNA from 2 species